rnacentral:lncRNA from 10 species
GCGGCCGCGAGGGCGGGGCGGCCGGGCCUGGCUGCGCCCCCGGACCUCGCGGGACCGCGGCGGCGCAGGAAGAAGUCCCCAAGGAGACUUCGCCAUAGGAGUUCACAGGAAAUAUUGAAAUGUCAGGUUCCACUCCAUUUCAGAUGAGAUUAGUUCAUUUAGACCUUAAAGGAGCUCCACCAAAGGUCUCGUACCUCUCAGAGGUAAGGACUCCCUUUUACCUCUAGAGCAUUACUUUUUGCCUUGGCUUCAUUCUUUAAAGUUUUGAGCAGUGUUCUGUGGAAACGGGUACCUAGAACACAACCACAAGGUUCUCGGUGGAGCAAGAUGGUGGCAGCAGCAUUGAUUUUGAAUUUCCUCCAUAGCCUCUCACAAAAACAGAACAACCAGGAUGACAAAAGGGAAAAAAAAAAAAGACAGAGAACAAAAGAAACUCACAGCUUCUUUCUUUUGGGUUGAAGUGUAUCUUUCCAAAAAGAUAUGUUCAAGUCUUAACCCCUGGGACCUGUGAAUGAGACCUUAUUUGGAAAUAGGAUCUUUGCAGAUGUAAUCAAAAUAAGAUGAAGUUGUACUAGAAUAUGGUGAACCCUAAUCCAGUGAUUGGCAUCCUUAUGAGGAGAGGGAAAUUUAGAGCCUGAGACACACGGAGGGAAGGCAGUGUGAAGACCCAGGAGGAUGCCCCGCGGUGCCAGCAGCCAAGAUGGUCAUGACGUGCCACGAACCCCAGGAUGCCGAGGACAGC